rnacentral:rRNA from 1 species
AUUGAACGCUGGCGGAAUGCUUUACACAUGCAAGUCGAACGGCAGCACGGGGCAACCUGGUGGCGAGUGGCGAACGGGUGAGUAAUACAUCGGAACGUGCCCAAUCGUGGGGGAUAACGUAGCGAAAGUUACGCUAAUACCGCAUACGAUCUACGGAUGAAAGCGGGGGAUCGCAAGACCUCGCGCGAGUGGAGCGGCCGAUGUCAGAUUAGGUAGUUGGUGGGGUAAAGGCUCACCAAGCCAACGAUCUGUAGCUGGUCUGAGAGGACGACCAGCCACACUGGAACUGAGACACGGUCCAGACUCCUACGGGAGGCAGCAGUGGGGAAUUUUGGACAAUGGGCGCAAGCCUGAUCCAGCCAUUCCGCGUGCAGGAUGAAGGCCUUCGGUUGUAAACUGCUUUGUACGGUACGAACGGACGAGCUCUAAUACAGUUUGCUAAUGACGGUACCGUAAGAAUAAGCACCGGCUAACUACGUGCCAGCAGCCGCGGUAAU